ensembl:snRNA U6 U6 spliceosomal RNA
GUGCUUGAUUCAGUAACACAUAUAUUAAGACAGGAACAAUACAGAGAAGCUUAGCAUGGCCCCUGAGCAGGGAUGACUUGCAAAUUCAUGAAGCAGUCCACAUUUUU